UUCCCACCCCUACCCCUUGCAUGUGCACAGUCACCAAUGCCCAUGUAGCCCCUGAAGUCCUACCCUUCUGGAAAAUUUAGAGUGAGGGCAAAGGUGGGAAGGCAGGACGGCACUUGUCAGAAAGAGGGGCAAGGAAGUGGAGUGGGCAGUAUCUAUUUCUUUUUGUUUCCUUUUCUUUAAAAAUCUGCAUGCUUCAGAAAAUUAUAAAUUCUAACUUUUCAAUUUUGAAGGAAAUGCUGGCCGGUGGCCAUGGCGCACCUGCAAUCCCAGCACUUUGGGAGGCCGAGGUGGGCGGAUCGGUUGAGGCCAGGAGUUCGAGACCAGCCUGGCCAACAUGGACUCUGGUGGAAAAGGAGCUCUGCCCUGUACAGUCUCCUAAACAGAUGACAUUAGCUGGACUAUGAAUAGGCCAACAGAACUUCUUUGCCCCUUCUAGCUUCAGGUCGAGGCACUAAGGAUGCAGCAGGAAACAGCACAGACAAGGGCCCUGUUGUCAAAGACCUUCCACUAUACUGGGUAAUGUUGGGACUCAGAAACUGAUACCCCAAGAUAUGGUGCUUUGACAUGCUGAACUAAAAAGGAAGCCUCAACAUCCGUCUGACCUUUCCCACGCACUUCCUGACUCUCAAUCCUCUGUGUCUCCCAAAGCACAGGAUGAAGUUGUUUUCUGAAGUUCCCUUAUUUUCCUAAAGUCUAAACUCAUUAAAGAAGAAAACAAUUA